rnacentral:rRNA from 1 species
CAGUAGCCACGGGAAUACGUAGGUGGCAAGCGUUGUCCGGAAUUAUUGGGCGUAAAGGGCUCGCAGGCGGUUUCUUAAGUCUGAUGUGAAAGCCCCCGGCUCAACCGGGGAGGGUCAUUGGAAACUGGGAAACUUGAGUGCAGAAGAGGAGAGUGGAAUUCCACGUGUAGCGGUGAAAUGCGUAGAGAUGUGGAGGAACACCAGUGGCGAAGGCGACUCUCUGGUCUGUAACUGACGCUCAUGCACGAAAGCGUGGGGAGCAAACAGGAUUAGAUACCCGGGUAGUCCCUGUCUCUUAUAA